rnacentral:rRNA from 1 species
AUUGAACGCUGGCGGCAUGCUUUACACAUGCAAGUCGAACGGUAACAGGCCGCAAGGUGCUGACGAGUGGCGAACGGGUGAGUAAUGCAUCGGAACGUGCCCAGUCGUGGGGGAUAACGCAGCGAAAGCUGCGCUAAUACCGCAUACGAUCUAUGGAUGAAAGCGGGGGACCGUAAGGCCUCGCGCGAUUGGAGCGGCCGACGUCAGAUUAGGUAGUUGGUGGGGUAAAGGCUCACCAAGCCAACGAUCUGUAGCUGGUCUGAGAGGACGACCAGCCACACUGGGACUGAGACACGGCCCAGACUCCUACGGGAGGAAGCAGUGGGGAAUUUUGGACAAUGGGCGCAAGCCUGAUCCAGCAAUGCCGCGUGCAGGAAGAAGGCCUUCGGGUUGUAAACUGCUUUUGUACGGAACGAAACGGUCCUGGUUAAUACCCGGGGCUAAUGACGGUACCGUAAGAAUAAGCACCGGCUAACUACGUGCCAGCCGCCGCCGUAACAC